UAGAAAUAUAAAAUUAAAAGAGUUAGCCCCAAAAGCCACAAACUCAGGGCUAAGCCCUGCCGCCAAGAAUAACAGGCCAUAAAGAUAAAGAAAAGGAAUGCAGGAUCCAGCUCAGGCUAUCGAGGACUGACCCAUAAACCAUCCAAAGACGUCCCCCCAGCUUACUCAGAGUCAUACUUUAACCAGAUGUCCUCCAGACCCUGAUAAGCCCCUACUUGUGCUUUUCAGCCAUUGUGUCCUGCAGAGAGCACUCCAAGAAACCGGACAGCCCAAGCCUAACCAGAGGUGUUUCAAAUACAAAUGCUCCAUCAGUUUUGACAAACGUUUAAAAAUAAUGAGGACCUGAAGACCCUACCCUUCUCCUGAUUUAGUAGCUCUGUUCCAGGAACCAGGGGGCCAUAAAACCUUCUGGCGUCCCCUUAUCUCCUGGAGCCAUAAAACAAUCCUGUAACUUGUGGUGCAUUCCCCUUUGACAUCCCCCAUCCCCUGGUGCUCACAGCCUCUGCCUUUAAAUACUCUUUUUCCCAGCCUCUCGGGGUCGACACCUCUGUCUCCUGCGUGGGAUAUGUGUCGGCCCGGAGAUCUCUGUAAUAGGUCUCCGUAAUAAACCUCGCCUUUGCUUAUUACAUCCAAAAUGGUCUCUCUGUGUCUGGGGUCCGCGAUUUCCCAAGACUUGAGUAAGGGUCUCUCUGCGUGGGAUCUUUCAUAUUUAUGGGGGCUCGUCCGGGAUCUGCGCGACUACCCCAGACUCCGAAGACCCCUUGGAGGUGAGUUGGAUGUUUGUCUGAGUGUUUCUGUGUGAGCGGCGCCGCAAUUGUCAGUCUGUGUCUGUCUCUGUUUUGGUUCCGCCGUGUGUGUAUAUAUGUGUGUCUUAGUACUGGUCAGUGUUAAGAGGGCAGAUGGGUAUUCCUGCCCUGUGUUAAGAGGGCAGAUGGGUGUUCCUGCCUUGUGCUAAGAGGGUGGAUGUGUAUUCCUGCCCUGUGCUAGGAGGGUGGAUGUGUAUUCCUGCCCUGUAGGAGAGUGGAUGUGUAUCCCCACUCAUGCAGCUGCCUUUGUGGUCCGUGAGGACCCCCUGGCUGCGGAAGGGGGGACGCCCCGGGCCCGCAAGGCUGCAGCCCCUGGAAGACGUUCCACGGGCGGAGAACAGUCGGGAGAGCCCGGCUAUGGACAGUCAGGAGGACCUGACUCUGGUUUUCUGGAACAAAGGAGAUGGAAUGCUCCUUUUACCUAGGCGGGAGUGGACGAGGAAUCCCACUCCGUCAGAGGUCGAGUUCGGCUGCCUAUUUAAAUAUAGGCACGGACAAGUGUGCUUAGUCGUUAGGACAAGAGGACACUCUGGAAUCCUGUUGGGAGGUGGAAUCAGAUGGUCCAUCUCAUCCCAAAAGCAGCUAAGGUUAAGCUGCAGUUUGGGCCACGUACUGAAGGUACCAGGCAUCUGUGAAAGUUGGUUAUAAGAUGCUUUGUCUUGAUAUUGUUUGUCUGGCUUGUUUUCUGUGGUAUUGUCAAGUGUCUUUUUUGGCUUUUGUUUCGUUUUUAAAUUUAGACUGACGACUGUGUUUGAAAUCUUGGACUGACGACUGUGUUUAAAAUCUUGGACUGACGACUGUGUUUGAAAUCAUGAAACUGUUUGCUUUGUUCGUCAUAGAGUUUUACUUGGUCCUCUUGGUGCUUAAGUUAAGAGUUAAAAAUAAUUUGCUUGAGAGAAAUUGUUUUCUGCCAGGGAGUUUUGUCUUUCUCUCUUGAGCCUCCUCCCCAAGGAGAGAGGCCCCUCCCUUUACUCCCCUUGAUCAGCCUAGCUGCUGUUAACAGUUGUGUAAACAGACAUUAACAAAAACCUUGAGGACAAAACCUCUCGUAAAUAAAAAAGUUCCCCAGAUUAGGCCUCCGGUAUGAAACAAGUAUAGUGAGUAAGAAACUUAAUUUUAUAGACCCCGCUCUAGUGGCGGUGUGUUGGUUGAUAGCCAACGUUAAUUUUUUAAAACAUAGUGUUUUAUCUGUGCUUGUGCUCGCAACACACAGUAGGGGGGAGCGAAACUAGCUGUGGAGCUGCUACAGCGAGCAUGGAGACUUCUCAAGUCUCACCCAAUUUUUCUGGCUCUUCAGGAGCUGUUUAAAAAGAAAAGGCUUAAGGUAAAAAGAAACACUAUAGAGAGAUUUCUUAGUGAAUUACUACACCUUGGUUUGCGAUCUCUGGGAAUCUCACGGUGGACAGCUGAGAUAAGCUGAAAAAGGAUUUAAAUUUUGCUUGGGAGCAAGGAAUCUUAAAGGCGGAGUUUCAGCCGGUAUGACACUUAGUGCGUAGCUGCCUAAAAGAUCAGAAAUGCUGUCAACAGGAUAUAAAAAAGGGACAGGCUGUGUUAGAAAUGCUACAGGAAGAAUGAUCUAAAAAGGCUGAGAGUGAGGUGGGGGAAGACUCUAAAGAAAACAAAAACAAGAAAAGAAUUUCUGCUUUUAGUGGCCAGACCUUCAACUCUUGCUCACAGAAAGAGAGUGCUCAUUAGGAGAAGUUCUUUAAGGAGCCUGCCUUAUCUGCUGGCCCUAUUCCAAGAGAGGAGUCAGUCUCCAGCAUUAAAUUACUUUUCUCACUGGUCAUCAUUAGCAUGGAGAAUGCCUUUGAUCCUAUCCCCACAGCAGCCAGUUCCUGCCCCUAUGGUCGAAAUGUCCCAGGUUGGGGGGCAGAGAAGCCCCUAAAAUAGUUUCAAAGAAUCUACAACAAACUGUAAAGAACUUUGUUUUGUUUUGCCAGUCAAGAUUUAAAAUUCAGGCUUUGGCUGUGGCCAAGGUCAGGAUUAAUGUUUUCUUUUCCAUGGGCCUUUAGCCCACUGAGAAAGUUUGGUAAAGGGCUGCUACUGAGGUCCUGAAAGCCCCAAGUGAACUGGUUACAAUUCUUUUGUCAGUGCUUAGAAUCUAACACCCAGGUUCUAACGUCUCUCCAUCCUUUUGUUAUUAGUUGUUACUGGAAGCCCAGUGCCAUUUAGAGGAUGGGUCUCUUGAGCGAUAAAGCCACUGAGAUGACACUAAAGGAAGGUACUCCUUAAGGGAAAAUCUAAGUCCAGAGAGACAACCUGUAACAGAUAGACUGCCCCUCUGCUCACUUCUCUGUUUCACAGACACAAGGUCUUUUUGUCCAAGAAAGCCUCCUGGCUUAGCUGUGUGACUAAAUGCUAUUUGCCCUCUUCAGUGGACCUCUAUUCUCAAGAUUCCCUUGUUUUCUCACCAUCCCAUUUGAGAUGCUUGUUAGUAACUGUUACAGGUCUUCUUUACCACCGAGGAAAGACAGAAUCCUACUAGAGGCCAGAAAAAGUGUUCCAGAGAUGGAUGGAAGGCCCUCACUUCUGCCUGCUCUCUUCAGACGCCUAAAGUUGGGGACAAUCUGGUCACCUUGCUGCCCAAUCCGGACCUGGAGCCACCACAGCACGAGUGUCAAACACUGACAGAAGCCCAUGGGUGGAGGAAAGACCUCUGUGACUGGCUGAUUGACCCCUGCUGAAAGCCGAGGAGCUUGUCCACAGACGGGAACAGUUCUCUUCACAAAUAAAGGUCAGAGACAAGUGGGUGCUGCCAUGGUAGACAACACAAUGUCAACUAGAAUGGCUGAACCCCAACCCCCCAGCACAUCAGCGCCACAGAUGCCUUUGCCAUCUCUUAGAUGCCCUGAUGAAGCCAACAACUGUGAGUACUAUUCAUUGCUCAGGAUAUCAGGAGGAAAGAGAUUCAGUGACAUGGGACAGUAACAAAACAGAUAAAGUGGCUCGAGAAAUGGCUAUACAGGAGCCUAUCCUGGUUACAGGCCUACAAGAGACAGCCACUGGGAACUGGGAUUAGACUAAGGGAUGGCCUCACUUAGAAUGUACAACAGAAGAAAAGGCCCAAGUUGUUUAAAAGAUAAAAAGACAAUGACACACUUGGGGAGAAAGCUGUACCCCCCCCCCCCCAAAGAACAAACAAAAGACUCACUUUGCCAAAUUAAGAAAUGGACUCAUUUAGGAGAUAAGAAGUUUGUCCAAAUAGUUAAAAUAUAUGUAAUAGACUUUAAGAUUUUAGCCAAGAGAGACAGUAAAAAGUAUAAGAUAUGUCAGUAAGUGAAUGCUUAACAAACAAACAAGACAAAGAGACCUAGAGAGUUUAAUGAAAAGUCGAAGUAAACUUCACUGAGAUAAAACCAGAAAAAUAUAAUCUCCUAGUGCUUGUAGAUACUUUUUCAGAAAUAGACAGAAGCUUUCCUCACCAAACGAGAGACGGCCUCUACAAUCAUCAAGAAGAUACUGAAAGAAAUCUUCCCCAGGUCUGGAAUGCCCAAGGUAAUCUGGUCAGACAACGGUCCUACUUUCGUUGCCAAGGUAAGCCAGGGUGUGGCCAAAUAUUUAGAGGUCGAUUGGAAAUUACAUUAUAUUUACAGACCUCAAAGUUCAAGACAGGUAGAGUAAAUAAACAGAACUCUAAAAGAGACCCUAAACAAAUUGACCAUGGAGACUGGCACAGACUGGGUGACACUCCUUCCCUCUUGCUCUCUUCAGAGCAAGAAAUACCCCUUCCAGAUUCAGCCUUACCCACUUUGAGAUCUUAUAUGGGGCCUCAGCUCCCCUGACUGUAUUAGAUGAUGUUACUGAACCAACAUGUCAUAGUAAUAAUGAUUUGUGUGCCAGGCUAAAAGACCUACAGGUGAUACAGAAAGAAAUCUGCUCACAGCUGACAGCAGCCUAUGCCCCGGAGACCCCUGAGACAUCCCAUCAGUUCCAGGUCGGAAGCAGCUACACUGAGCCCAGACACUCGAUCCUCGCUGGAAAGGACCAUACCUGGUGCUGCUGACCACCCUGACAGCCGUCAAUUCUCAGCCCUCACCAGCCGUGUACUAACUGUUAGGGCUGAGAGCUGGGACCUAGAGAGAAAUUCAGUCAUGUUUGUCCUGGGUUCCAUCGAGAUAGGUGUGGGGAUAGGCUUGAUUUCUAUUACAAAUAAUGUAACAUUACAUAUGUUAGUACUCCUAACACUUCUUGGGACUGUGCCUCAGGGAUCACAACCUAUAUAAGUUUAGAAGUUCUGAAAGACAGUCAUGACCUUGGUGUAUAGGUUCAGAUAGUGUCCAGAUUGGAAUCCUGAUGCUAAAGACUUAGUAAGAGACAAAAAAAAGGAGUUGAGAAUUACUUAGGGCUAGGGCUAUCUAGGUGCUACAAGGGCAGCACAAGGACAUCUGCUGUUGCCCUACAAUACAAGGCUUAUAGAGAAUUCAGAACUGCCAUUGACUCAGAUAUAAAAAGAAUAAAAGACUUUUUAGCUGACCUCCAAGAAUACCUAACUUCCCUCUCAGAGGUAGUCCUUCAAAAUAAGAAAAGAUCAGACCUGAUAUUCCUUAAAGAAGGAAUCUGUGUGCUACACUGAAAGAAAAAUGUUGCUUCUAUACAGACCAUUCAGGAGUAAUUAAAGACUCCAUAAAUAAACUUAAAAAAAGGUUAGACAAAAGACAGACAGACAGAAAAACACAUCAGAGAUAGUUCGAGAGCUAGUUUAGUAGAUCUCCCUGGAUGACUACCCUACUCUCUGCUACAGCUGGGCCAUUAUUAAUAAUUUUCUUGGUUUUAGUUUUUGGCUCCUGCGUGACAAACAGGUUAAUUGCUUUUGUUAAAAAUUGAGUGGGUGCUGUGCGGUUGAUGGUCCUGAGACAACAGUACCAGUCAGUUAGGACAACUGGUGAGACCAAAUAAGACUUGAUAUCAAAAUUCUAAGAUUAGAAUUAUUUAGUAGGAGAAGACGGGAAUGAAAAGAAAAUUAUACAAAUUCUAGGUUUAGAAAUAUAAAAUUAAAAGAGUUAGCCCCAAAAGCCACAAACUCAGGGCUAAGCCCUGCCGCCAAGAAUAACAGGCCAUAAAGAUAAAGAAAAGGAAUGCAGGAUCCAGCUCAGGCUAUCGAGGACUGACCCAUAAACCAUCCAAAGACGUCCCCCCAGCUUACUCAGAGUCAUACUUUAACCAGAUGUCCUCCAGACCCUGAUAAGCCCCUACUUGUGCUUUUCAGCCAUUGUGUCCUGCAGAGAGCACUCCAAGAAACCGGACAGCCCAAGCCUAACCAGAGGUGUUUCAAAUACAAAUGCUCCAUCAGUUUUGACAAACGUUUAAAAAUAAUGAGGACCUGAAGACCCUACCCUUCUCCUGAUUUAGUAGCUCUGUUCCAGGAACCAGGGGGCCAUAAAACCUUCUGGCGUCCCCUUAUCUCCUGGAGCCAUAAAACAAUCCUGUAACUUGUGGUGCAUUCCCCUUUGACAUCCCCCAUCCCCUGGUGCUCACAGCCUCUGCCUUUAAAUACUCUUUUUCCCAGCCUCUCGGGGUCGACACCUCUGUCUCCUGCGUGGGAUAUGUGUCGGCCCGGAGAUCUCUGUAAUAGGUCUCCGUAAUAAACCUCGCCUUUGCUUAUUACAUCCAAAA